CGAGCAACGAUAUGCUUUCCAUAAGUAUACUUCUUCAAUGCGUUUAAAUGAACUUUUAUUCGCAUAAGAAUCAACUCGCGUUGUUGGUCAUCACAAGUCUCGAGCACUUUUUGUACAACAUAGUUUGCAAAUUGAUCUUUCAUCAUUGCCUGAAGAGGCUCAUUUUCAUCAGUGGUUCCAAGCAUCUCAUUCACCAGUAACUCUCGUUCACUGGGGCCACCAAAAGUUAAACACUUCUCCACGACGUUGGAGGCAAACUUCUGCUGACUCAUCUGAACUAUCUUCCCGGCCAACUCCUUAAUAAUAGCGGAUCGUUCAUGGGGUUUUCCAUGCUCCAGCACAUGCUGAACAACGUAGUUGCCAUAUUGAUCUUGUGCCAACAU
rnacentral:misc_RNA from 1 species